GAUGAACGCUGGCGGCGUGCCUAAUACAUGCAAGUCGAGCGAACAGACGAGGAGCUUGCUCCUCUGACGUUAGCGGCGGACGGGUGAGUAACACGUGGAUAACCUACCUAUAAGACUGGGAUAACUUCGGGAAACCGGAGCUAAUACCGGAUAAUAUAUUGAACCGCAUGGUUCAAUAGUGAAAGACGGUUUUGCUGUCACUUAUAGAUGGAUCCGCGCCGCAUUAGCUAGUUGGUAAGGUAACGGCUUACCAAGGCAACGAUGCGUAGCCGACCUGAGAGAGUGAUCGGCCACACUAGAACUGAGACGCGGUCCAGACUCCUACGGGAGGCAGCAGUAGGGAAUCUUCCGCAAUGGGCGAAAGCCUGACGGAGCAACGCCGCGUGAGUGAUGAAGGUCUUCGGAUCGUAAAACUCUGUUAUUAGGGAAGAACAAAUGUGUAAGUAACUAUGCACGUCUUGACGGUACCUAAUCAGAAAGCCACGGCUAACUACGUG
rnacentral:rRNA from 1 species